UUGAGCUAAAUAACUAGUUCACAUAGAUUUGUCUUUAAAUGUCAUCUCAAUUCAUGACAAAUAUAAAACUAGCAUCCAUACAAAAUAGAUGAAUACUUCCAUGUGUUAUAUUUCAAUUUAGUUUGAUGAGGACUGUAUUGUAAAGCAAAAUGAACACAUGGACAAUGCAGCUGAUAAAAUUUGAAUGAUUAGAUUAUUAUUCAGUUAUUGUUGAAUAUUGUUAUCCCCUGUCUCUGUACAGAUUCAGGUCUGUCAAUGGUAUAAAAUAGUAAGCGGAAUAUAAAUUAACUCAUGGAGGAACUUUCCAACUAAGAUACAAAGCCAAAGGAAACAAUUCAUGGAUUUUACUUUAAAAAAAAGUCUUCCAGGCAUGGUGAUUGGUACCUACAAUGCCAGUGCUCAGGUAGCUGAGGGUAAGAAUAUUGCUACAAUUUCUAGGCCAGUAUGGGCUAUAUAGUAAGUUCCAGAUGAGAGCAAGCUACAGAGUAAGAUGCUAUCUCAUGGGAAAAAAUUGUGUGUGCUCAGCCUGUCACAUAAUAAGGUAACAGCAAAUUAAAGUGAAUUAUAUUUCAUAAGGCUGACAAGGAUUAAAAGGAGUGAAACUAUCAAGCCUUGGCAGUUAUACAAAAUAGCUAUUUUCCUACAUGUUUAGUAGAAGGUAUAAAAUUGGAGAGGCCACUCUGGAAAACACAUUGACAAUCUAUCAGAACAGUACAUCUCUGCUGACUCAGCAAUUCUUCUAAGAAAUGGUUCUAAAGAGUUAUCUACAGAUUAGUAACAAGAAACACAUAAAAGAAUGAAUUUUUUGUCAUCAAAAGUUACCAUAUUCUAGUUUUAUUCUUAUUUAAAAACUGAGAUAAGCUUUACAUGCUAGUGGAUACCCUCACCCCAGUGUUAUAGGGGAAGAUGUCAUAAGAUGCAGAGGUUAAAGACAUCUGCUAGAAAUCCAUAAAACAGCAUAUAAAAAAAUAAAUGGGAAGUAGUAACAGAACACAUAACAGUCAUGACUUUUUUUAUAACCAAAUGACCUCAGCUGAGGAUACACAGUGGAGCAGGAAAGACAAUGUGACACAGAUCCACUCAUUGGGAUGGCUACAUUUUCUUUCUAUUUAUUUGCUUAUUUUAGCUUUUGUGGAACAACACCAUGUGGUGUUGCCCAGGCUAGUCUCCAACUUAACAUGUAUUGUAUUUUGAAUAUUUGCAUCUGUGUUCAUUGGGAGACUGGCCUUGAAAUUUCAUUUCUUGUCAUUGUCUUUACCUGGUUUGGGUACCAAAGUUGCUAGCUUUGAAAAACAAAAGAUCAAAAUAAAUAAAUAAAAAGUUAAGUAGCAUUUUUCCAUUUCUAUUUUGUGGAAUAGUUUGAAGAGCAUUGGCACUAAAUUUUAGGGGUGUGUUUUCUGGGGGGUCAUUAAAUGUAAUUACAUUAUUGUUUCUUUUUCCUUUCCUCCCUCCAACCCCUUCCCAUGUAUUUCCCCUUUGUUUUUUCUAAGGGAAGCUGUACCCUUGAAGUCUCAACAGUGUGGCUACCUAAACAAGACCUGAGCAAGGGCAUCCCAACAGACAAGAUGAAAACAUGAGAUAUGGAACUCUCACAAGAUACCAGUGACUCAAGACCUACAGGAAACUACCAGUGAUUUAAGAACUACAGGAAUGUACCAGUGGUUCAAGAACUUCCGAAAACGUCAAGGUGCAUCAUCACAAGCCCCACAAACUCAUUUUACUGCUAUGCUUUGUUUAUUGUUUAUACACAUGUUCAUGUUCACACACGCCUCAGGAGGAUGCAACCUCCAAGCAGCUUAUGUCUGUCUACAGAAGAGUGGUUAGCAAGUGCUAGCAUGGCAGGUGUUGAGCUGUAGCUCAAAGGAUAUACAAUGUCAGUUAAGAAAGAAUGAAUUGAAGACAUCUAUUUGCGAUACCAUGAGUGUAAUUGAUAAUAUAGUCUUGAAAAAUUCUGAGAUUGUUCUUGCCAAAGGGGAAAAAGGCGAUGGGAAGUACUGCAUGCUAAUUUCCUAGAUGUAAUCAUUCCACUGUAUCUGUCUAUACGUGUCUCUGUGCAAAUUUCAAAACAUUGUUUCACAUAGUAAGUACAUUUUAUAUUAUAUUUAAUCUACAAUUAUAUUGUUCAAUGUAAGUGAUUCAAUAUUGCCUAUUAAAAGCAUGCACUCAAAACAGAACUAAAUCUUUGAAAUUAUAAAGCUAUAAAUUUAUCAGAAGAACUUAAACCAGGCUAUGGGAUUGUUCUGAAUUCCUGCACGUUUUAAGUUUUUGUCCCCACAUACAGUAAUUUCCCAAUGCCCUAGAAACCUUGUUUUCCUUUUUCAAAGAUAAACCAUGUUUAUGUGAUGAAAAACAUAUUCUAUAAAUGUAUAUGCUGCUAAAAUUUCUCAUUGAAGAACUACAAAAGAGACGUGUUUUCUAAUGAAUGACCCCAAAACUGAGGUUAGAAUGAAAUGUGAAAAGAAGAAUAAAAUUUAAAAAUUA